AUACGAAAGGUGCAAGCGUUGUUCGGAAUGACUGGGCGUAAAGCGCGCGUAGGCGGGAUAAUAGGUCGAUUGUGAAAUCCCCGGGCUCAACCUGGGAACUGCAGUCGAAACCAUUAUUCUUGAAUAUCUGAGAGGGUGGGGGAAUACCUAGUGGAGCAGUGAAAUGCGUAGAGAUUAGGUGGAACACCGGAGGCGAAGGCGCCUGCCUGGCAGAAUAUUGACGCUGAGGCGCGAAAGCGUGGGUAGCAAACAGGAUUAGAUACCCUGGUAGUCCACGCCGUAAACGAUGGAUACUAGUUGUUUGGGGAGUUAACCCCCUGAGUGACGCAGCUAACGCAUUAAGUAUCCCGCCUGGGGAGUACGGUCGCAAGGCUAAA
rnacentral:rRNA from 1 species